rnacentral:rRNA from 1 species
UACGAAGGGGGCUAGCGUUGUUCGGAUUUAUUGGGCGUAAAGGGCUCGUAAGCGGUUUGUCGCGUCGGGAGUGAAAACACCGGGCUUAACUCGGUGCUUGCUUUCGAUACGGGCAGACUAGAGGCAUGCAGGGGAGAACGGAAUUCCUGGUGUAGCGGUGAAAUGCGCAGAUAUCAGGAGGAACACCGGUGGCGAAGGCGGUUCUCUGGGCAUGUCCUGACGCUGAGGAGCGAAAGUGUGGGGAGCGAACAGG